rnacentral:lncRNA from 1 species
GUGAUGUGAUGCCUGAGGUUGGAGGAGGAGUGAUACAGAGGUUUGACCGAGGAGGAAAGAAUGGCAGUUCCACAUCAUGACUGUCAACUGAGCAUCUCAGCUAAGCCAUGUAACAGGUGAACUGGAAGUGUCUUUCCUGGAUGAAUGUCAGAAGGACAGCUGAACUGUGAGCCCUGGGAUGAAGUCACCUACAGCCCUAAGACCUGAAAUGCACAUCUCAGCAGAAGCCUGACUGCAGCCGUUAUCCUUGCUGUGGAGAUGAACCAAAGGCCCAAGCUUGUUCUGGAAAUGAUGCAGAAGGGCUGGACCCCGGCUAAACCCCACUCUUAAGCCUGGAACCAUGGCCCUAAGUGAAAACAGCUGACCCCAUUUUUCUGUGCAAAUGUUGCCUUUUUGGCCUGCCCCGCCCCUAUCUUGUGCCCAUAAAAGACUUCAGCUGGCAGAGCAAUACUAGCGGCUGAGCUUUGAAGAUACAAGUGGCUGAGUGUUGGAGACUACAGACAGACAAAGCUAACUUCAGAAUGUACAGCUUCGGAAAGGGGCCCAGCUGGAAAUAGCCGGGCUUCAGAGGAAGAUCACCCUCCCUUCCCCUUUCCAGUCUCCCUUUCUGCUGAGAGCCACCCACCGCUCAGUAAAGUCUUCCACAUUCAUCACCUUUCAAACAUUCCUAUGACCUGAUUCUUCCUGGAUGUCGGACAAGAACCCAGGUGCCAAGAGGGCAGGGGCUGCCACCCUGACCCUCCACUGAGCCAGUUGACACUUGGCCAUCCCUAGAUGGCAGCUGAAAGAGCUUUGGUUGUAACACACUUGGAGGCUGCCGUGAGGUCUGCACAGAGCCUGCUCCCACCAGAGAGGAGCCACUGACUGGUUCUAGCAUUCAUUCACUCUGGUUCCUGCAGUCCCUUGCUCACAUACUCCCUCCUGUGAGGAAUGGCCAGCAGCAGACUAUGAUAUGAGCCACUCCAGUUCCAGCCUGUGAAGGGGGUCAAGGGAACUAUCCCAUCUCAGUACAGUAUUAUAUAGUUACAAAUUUUCGGAGUAUCUUAACUGAGAAGAAAAUGGCAUUGUUUUCCAUACCAAUUAGAAUAAGAAAUGCUUGCAAAGAAUGACAGUAAAGGUGUGGUGGCUCAUGCCUGUAAUCCCAGCACUUUGGGAACCAAAGUGGGCAGAUCCCUUGUUGCCCAGGCUUGGCAACAUAGCAAGACCUUGUCUCUACAAAAAAUACAAAAAAAAUUAGCCAAGCAUGGUGAUGCAUGCCUAUAGUCUCAGCUACCCAGGAGGCUGAGGUCGGAAGAUCACCUGAACUCAGGAUCGGGGGUGAGUCAAGGCUGCAGUGAGUGAGCCGUGAUGACGCCGCUGUGCUCCAGCCUGGGUGACAGAGUGAGACCCUAUCUCAAAAAUAAAUAAAUAAAUAGUAUUACAUCUUAAAAGCUUUACAAAUGCUUUCAUACAAAUGUAAAUUUCUUACAGGAGAGUCCAUCUAAAGAGUACCUGUAUGUUCAUUAAAAUAAUCUAAAGAAUUUAAAAGUCGUUACCUCUAAUAAAUGAUAUCUUUGCCCUCAGUGUGUAAAAUUAUGUUUAGUUAUUUGAAUAUUUUGUUUAAAAAUACUUCUCUACCUGUUGUAGUGUAUAUAGGCUAAGUAAUUUAGUAAUAAAGCAUUGUUUUA